GAUGAACGCUAGCGGGAGGCCUAACACAUGCAAGCCGAGCGGUAGAGUUUCUUCGGAAACUUGAGAGCGGCGCACGGGUGCGUAACACGUGUGCAACCUACCUUUAUCUGGGGGAUAGCCUUUCGAAAGGAAGAUUAAUACCCCAUAAUAUAAUGAUUGGCAUCAAUUAUUAUUGAAAACUCCGGUGGAUAGAGAUGGGCACGCGCAAGAUUAGAUAGUUGGUGAGGUAACGGCUCACCAAGUCAAUGAUCUUUAGGGGUCCUGAGAGGGAGAUCCCCCACACUGGUGCUGAGACACGGACCAGACUCCUACGGGAGGCAGCAGUGAGGAAUAUUGGACAAUGGGUGAGAGCCUGAUCCAGCCAUCCCGCGUGAAGGAUGACGGUCCUAUGGAUUGUAAACUUCUUUUGUACAGGGAUAAACCUACCCUCGUGAGGGUAGCUGAAGGUACUGUACGAAUAAGCACCGGCUAACUCCGUG
rnacentral:rRNA from 1 species